rnacentral:lncRNA from 1 species
GGUCCAAGUGAAGUAAGUUAUUCAUUAACUUGAUUUCACUUGUGUUCUACAUCAAAGUGCUCCAUAUGUGAUGCUUCUUACUAAAGGGAAUCCCGUCUCAACACAUCAAAAAAUCAAUUAAAAAGAUUUGGCACUGGUUGUGGUUUGUUGAUAUUGUUUGUUAUUCUUGCGCACCAGGUGUUUGAGUUUUUGUCAAACCAAUAGCAACAUCCUCAGAGUGAGUCGCAGCUACAGGCCGCCCUUGAGCUCUGUUCAUACUUUUUUUAUUGUGUUGUGACAUGCAGGUUUUUGUUGUUGUGUUGAUUUAUUAAAUUUGGCUAUGAGUCUAACUGGAUCUGAUAGGUAAGAGGCUCAAGCUGAACCCCUGACCCUCUUAUGUCUCUCCAUGUGCCUUCUUAUCCGGUGAAGGAUACACCAGCGCCAGCCACGUACUGGUCAAGAUCGAUGGUUAGUGGCCCUGCUCUGCCCGCAUAUAGCCUUAAUGGGGAUGCUGUCUAUGUUAGCUUAGUGCAGAAUUAGAUAAGGCCAGGUACUUUACUAAAUCGUUGUCCUAUGCCACAUUGCUAAAUACAGUAAUUAUUUGGGAAGUUUACAUCCACUGAAUUUCUAUCUUGGCAAAAGCAGAUCCUGAUUUGGUGCUGAUUUUUGCCAUCUGCAACUCCUUUUUUUAGUUAUAAUUAUGUUGAGAACUAGUAAGAUUCACACAAACAUCUCAUUUUGUAUAAUUUAAUUUAUCCUGAGAGAUAGGCUUUAUAGUACCUUAUUUCCUAAUAGCUGCAUAAAUAACCCAAUAAGCCUUCAGUCCUACAUGAGUUUUCAGUUACGUUUGUAAUUGCCUCUUUUGCUCUGAUUUUUGGUUCUCAGCUAGCCAUAGUGAUAUCAUCAGAGACGUGUUUUAGGUAUGAUAGCAGGGGUGUUUGACAUAUGUGCUCGGCCAGGGAAUCAUUCCAGAAUGUACCAUAUGUCAAACACCCCUGCUAUCAUACCUAAAAAAUAGUAUAGGACGGACUGAAAAAUGAAAAGAAAAGAAGAUAUGCGCCUAGCGGUAAAUACUUGUUUGUUUGAUUGCCAUAUCUAAUUAACAUAUUCAUGCCCAGCUUCCUGGCAUAUGUAAUUCCGGUUAUAUUUUAGCGUGGCUUCAACAAGAACAACCUCGCUGAUUACGUUGAUCAACAAGAGUACGCCUAAAACAUGACGCUGGCUAUUAUUCUUCUAAUAUUUAUCUUUCAUAUCCGUCCUUGUGUUGAUCAAUUCCUGUGUGCUCUAAUUAGUGCUAGUUCAAACUCAUUACCUAGAGAUAUCAUAAAUCAUUCCAAACAGGCCCUCUGUGGUUUUUUGUUGGGUGUACGAAUUGAAGCUAAAGAUGAAGUUGCAGUUAAUGGUCAUCCAUCUUGCUGCGAUUUCAACAUUAUCUCUGUUUUAUUUUGACCCUUUUAUUUUUUGGCAGUAAUGUUAGUCGUGAGAUAAGUGGCACCACUAAGUCAUAGGGAACUUGCUCUGCUUUUAUUUUGACCCUUGUGGAAUUCGGACCUCCUCUUUCUUGCAAGUAGUUGUCCAAAUGGAUUUGUGGAACAUGUGUUCUUCCGAGCUGAUCUAAUUGGCCGCUUCUUUUUUUACAGGUCAUCGGUAUAAUUCUUUUGCAUCCACAAAUUUGAAGAGGUGUGUUUUGUGAGCUAAAAGGAUGUUCUGUUGGGUUCUGUUUCUCUGUGUUCUAUUUCUAUUAACUGAAACAAGAUGUUAUAUUUGGCGCUUUUGUCUAUGGUGCAAUAACCUACAAAUGUAUGCCUAUGUGUGCAUGGGCAUACAUGAAGGAUCGUUGUGUUGUAAUACUGUACUUGUGAACCUAUAUAUGCUUGUAUACAUCAUGGAUUGUUGAGAUACAUAUAUUAUGUCUAAUUGAUGCAACUUUAAUUACUAUGCGUGCGUGUUGUUACAUAUGUACUAUACUUGUUGGCACAAAAUGAAGUGAAGACAAAUGAAUUGGAA